CGUGCAGGCGGUUUGAUAAGUUGGAUGUGAAAUCUCCCGGCUUAACUGGGAGCGGUCGUUCAAAACUAUCAGACUAGAGAAUGGGAGAGGAAGGUGGAAUUCCGGGUGUAGUGGUGAAAUGCGUAGAUAUCCGGAGGAACACCAGUGGCGAAAGCGGCCUUCUAGACCAUUUCUGACGCUAAGACGCGAAAGCUAGGGUAGCAAACG
rnacentral:rRNA from 1 species